rnacentral:siRNA from 1 species
UUGUCUUCUGUUGUCACGAUA